UAGGUGGCAAGCGUUGUCCGGAAUUAUUGGGCGUAAAGCGCGCGCAGGCGGUCCUUUAAGUCUGAUGUGAAAGCCCACGGCUCAACCGUGGAGGGUCAUUGGAAACUGGGGGACUUGAGUGCAGAAGAGGAGAGCGGAAUUCCACGUGUAGCGGUGAAAUGCGUAGAGAUGUGGAGGAACACCAGUGGCGAAGGCGGCUCUCUGGUCUGUAACUGACGCUGAGGCGCGAAAGCGUGGGGAGCGAACAGG
rnacentral:rRNA from 1 species